GACGAACGCUGGCGGCGUGCUUAACACAUGCAAGUCGAACGGAAAGGCCCUGCUUUUGUGGGGUGCUCGAGUGGCGAACGGGUGAGUAACACGUGAGUAACCUGCCCUUGACUUUGGGAUAACUUCAGGAAACUGGGGCUAAUACCGGAUAGGAGCUCCUGCUGCAUGGUGGGGGUUGGAAAGUUUCGGCGGUUGGGGAUGGACUCGCGGCUUAUCAGCUUGUUGGUGGGGUAGUGGCUUACCAAGGCUUUGACGGGUAGCCGGCCUGAGAGGGUGACCGGCGACAUUGGGACUGAGAUACGGCCCAGACUCCUACGGGAGGCAGCAGUGGGGAAUAGUGCACAAUGGGCGGAAGCCUGAUGCAGCAACGCCGCGUGCGGGAUGACGGCCUUCGGGUUGUAAACCGAUUUAGACUGUGACGAAGAGUGAGUGACGGUAAUGGGUAAAGAAGCACCGGCUAACUACGUG
rnacentral:rRNA from 1 species